GCUUUCUUCUAUUUUUGCCACAAGACAUUGUAACAAUAACGACUUCCUUUCACUGUCCUGUGUUCUCUGUGCAGUGCGUAGCUCAGGCUGAAGCAGUGAAUGAAACGUGGCAUCUGUUUUUCAGGAGGAUGAAAAAGGCCUUCGUUCUGCAUCUGUCUGAAACUGGCGUAGUGGCUCCUUUGGUGGUGGCUCAGUACGGUGCGUUUUUAAUGGGCCCUGACGCCCAUUAUCCACAAGUCUCAGGUAAAGGAGCAGAUCUAGAGGGUGUUUUGGUGAACUGGGAUGUUUGGCUGCUGUUGUCCCCUCCACACCAACCCCCACUCACGUGUUCACUCAGGUUUAAUGACGGUGGAGUGGCUGGCCGCUUUAUGUCCCAGGGUACCCUCAUGUUUGUGUUACGUUCUAGCUAUCCCUUAGCUAGUCUAGCCAGAAUCCCCUAGCUUGCACUCUGCACACAAUGUACAUUGUCCUUAACCAUUAUGUGACACUUAGCAUACCCAGUAAUCUGUUUCUUUCUCUAUCUCUCUCUCUCUCUCUCUCUCUCUCUCUCUCUCUCUCUCUCUGAUCCUGACCCCUUCUGCUCUACAG
ensembl:lncRNA